CCGGCACCCCCCGGGACACCCCCGGCACCCCGCGGACGAACCGGCACCGGCAGCACCGCAGUCCCAGGCCAUGGCUGGAGCGUAGCCCCUCCCCCACCGGACCGGACCCUCGGACACGCUGAGCCACAACCGGAAGGGAGCGAUGAUUGGCUGCCAGGCGAGAGGCGCGCUGUGAUUGGCCGGUUCCUGGAGAGCGUCGCGGCAUCGGUGUAUGUGGCAGUGAGGGAGGGGCCGCCCCCGCCCAGCAGCCGCCCCCUCCCCCCCCCCACGGGGGGGCCCCGGGGGGACCCAGCC